UCCAAAGCAUUCAUGUUGUGGAGACUGAGGUCAAGCAACUUCUAACAAAUUGGUUUCCAAUGAUCUCACUGAGAGAACUCGUCUCAAAGACUAAAGUGGCCAGCAGUAAUGGACAUACACAGCACUGAUCUCUGGUCUUGACAAGUCAUGUAUAGAUUGACAGUGAACAGGAGAAGCAUGGUUAGUCAAGCAAACCUCACUUCCAGCUGCUAGACUCAGCUCCUGUC